rnacentral:rRNA from 1 species
ACUCAAAUGAAUUGACGGGGACCCGCACAAGCAGUGGAUCAUGUGGUUUAAUUCGAGGCUAAGCGAAGAACCUUACCGAGACUUGACAUCCCGCGAAGGCAUCCGAAAGGAAGCUGUGCCCUCGGGAACGCGGUGACAGGUGCUGCAUGGCCGUCGUCAGCUCGUGUCGUGAGAUGUUGGGUUAAGUCCCGCAACGAGCGAAACCCUUAUCGUCUGUUGUAUGUUCAGACGAGACUGCCCGGGCCAACCGGGAGGAAGGCGGGGAUGAUGUCUGGUCAGCAUGGCCCUUACGUCUCGGGCCACACACGUGAUACAAUGGCCGGUACAAUGCGCUGCCAAGCCGCAAGGUGGAGCUAAUCGCAUCAAAACCGGUCUCAGUUCGGAUUGGGGGCUGAAACUCGCCCCCAUGAAGCUGGAAUUGCUAGUAAUGGCAGGUCAGCCACACUGCCGUGAAUACGUUCUCGGGUCUUGUACACACCGCCCGU